GGUUCGAAAUUGAAAGGCGGCUUCGGCUGUCACUUAUGGAUGGACCCGCGUCGCAUUAGCUAGUUGGUGAGGUAACGGCUCACCAAGGCAACGAUGCGUAGCCGACCUGAGAGGGUGAUCGGCCACACUGGGACUGAGACACGGCCCAGACUCCUACGGGAGGCAGCAGUAGGGAAUCUUCCGCAAUGGACGAAAGUCUGACGGAGCAACGCCGCGUGAGUGAUGAAGGCUUUCGGGUCGUAAAACUCUGUUGUUAGGGAAGAACAAGUGCUAGUUGAAUAAGCUGGCACCUUGACGGUACCUAACCAGAAAGCCACGGCUAACUACGUGCCAGCAGCCGCGGUAAUACGUAGGUGGCAAGCGUUAUCCGGAAUUAUUGGGCGUAAAGCGCGCGCAGGUGGUUUCUUAAGUCUGAUGUGAAAGCCCACGGCUCAACCGUGGAGGGUCAUUGGAAACUGGGAGACUUGAGUGCAGAAGAGGAAAGUGGAAUUCC
rnacentral:rRNA from 1 species